ACGUGAGAGGACAGUUAGCUCUCCUUUCACACAAUAGGUUAGACACUGACCAGAGCAGCAGCACCUGACCCGGGAGGACAGACAGCACUGACCCAGGAGGACAGACAGCACUGACCCAGGAGGACAGACAGCACAGACAGCACCUGGAUGAUUUUAUACCUCAUUUGAUGAGACAGUUCGUGGAUGUGAAGCCACUGGGAGGAGUUAAGAAGGAUCACAUCAAUUCCUCUCCAGCAAACCAUUUGGACACUGGGUUUUCGGACAAAGGACAGGGUGGCUUGCACGAAAAAAAGUUCUAUGCUGGACUCACUCAGGCAGCAACAUAUCAAAGGGAGAAGAGACGUCAUCCUCCGCUGCUUAAUUGAGUAACUUGGAGAGUCUGGAGAGGAACUCAUCAAGGACGACCAGGUCAAUUUGUGAUGAUUAUUCUGACCAGAAUGAAAACCUAAGACUUACUCAUAUCUCCGUACAAAUACUUUAUAGGCAAACCACUCAUAUCCCUUCGUGUGGUUUAAACAUUUUCUUUUUUAUUAAUUUGCAUUCUUCAAUAAGAUAUUUACUACAAUUGACAUUUAAGAUACAGUACCAAUCAAAAAGUUGUUAGGCCAACUUUUUGAUUGGUAUAGUCAAUAGUUAAAAACAGUCCAUAGUCCAUAGUCUUCUAAGUUCUGAUUUCAAAUGUUUUUAAAGUCAUCAUGACUUUAAGAUCUGAAGGAAAUGCAGCACAGGAAGGCCACAACCCCUGACCAUGUCAGUCAUCACAAGGGAAAACAGGUUCUUCAUGACUAUUGCAAAUGUCUACCUUUUGCUCAAAGGCCUAAAAGAACAGAAUUUGUUGGGAAUUAACUUACUGCAUUUCUAUUCUGUAUUUCUUACAAAGCUAUUGCACUUUACAGUGAUACUUCAUUGAAAAUGUAAUCUCUGUAGAUGUACACGUUUGUCUGUUUAGUCAGACUCUUUGUUAAAAAGUUUUUGUUAUGGCAGUGGUUACAAAAUAUGCAAGCACUGCAGGCUAGCUGAAAUAUGCAUACUUAAAGGCCUUAAAGGGUUAGUUUGGAUUAUUUGAUGUGUGAUUGUAUGAGGUCCUUGUCAAUAGUCAGUGUAUUCGCUACAUGGAGAAACAGCAUGAAAGCUAAGCAAUGAUGUGCCAUGGACCGGGUAAGCAAAAAAGGUAUUUUAGCAAGUUAAAAGACCAACUAAACGCCAUAGGAGAAAUCACAUAUUUUUCUUUGUGUUAUUGUGUGACUUUGGGAAUCUGAACUGUCCCUAAAACACUGAAGUCACACAAUAACACAAACAAACUAAAGAUCUAGGCUGGCACUUUUUUUAAAUGUCUAAAAAGCGUUUGUUGCUGACCCCACCCAGAGCAGUUCAUUACUUAGCUUCUGUGCUGGUGCCCAUCUCUGCUUCUUCUAACUGGCGAUGUGCUGACCGCCAUAUACUGUACCUAAUACACUGACUACAGAAAAAUACCUCAUACAGCCACACAUUUAAUAAUCCUAUCAAACUGUUUAAGAGGUAAAAUGCAUCAGAAAGGUCACAUGUCCUAUUUGAAAAUGUUUUAGUCUGACUAAGUGUUUCAAAUGAAAGUCUGCAGUACUGCUGCUAGCACUGAUUUAGAUAUGUUUUAAUGCCCACCAGAUUGUAUGUGUAAAACGCAACCUCUUACAUCAGUGUUGAAGGGGGAAUAAAAGGUGCUGUUUCUGUAAAAACAUCUGUUAUUUCAUGUUUUAUAGAAGCCUUACGUUAAAACAAUCGUAUUGGCAAAAGUAGCUCAUGUUAAAAAUGCAACAAAUCCAUAGUAUAAUAGUGCUGUAAAGUAUAUCAAAUAAUAUGUAAAUAUUACUUAGAAAU